rnacentral:rRNA from 1 species
GGACCAGACUCCUACGGGAGGCAGCAGUGGGGAAUAUUGCACAAUGGGGGGAACCCUGAUGCAGCGACGCCGCGUGGGUGAAGGAGCCCCUCGGUGCGUAAAGCCCUAUCGGCAGGGAAGAAACAGACGGUACCUGACUAAGAAGCCCCGGCUAACUACGUGCCAGCAGCCGCGGUAAUACGUAGGGGGCAAGCGUUAUCCGGAGUCACUGGGUGUAAAGGGAGCGUAGACGGCGACGCAAGUCUGGAGUGAAAGCCCGGGGCCCAACCCCGGGACUGCUCUGGAAACUGCGGCGCUGGAGUACGGGAGGGGCAGGCGGAAUUCCUAGUGUGGCGGUGAAAUGCGUAGAUAUUAGGAGGAACACCAGUGGCGAAGGCGGCCUGCUGGACGAUGACUGACGUUGAGGCUCGAAAGCGUGGGGAGCAAACAGGAUUAGAUACCCCCGUAU